UUAAGCGAGAUGUGAAAGCCCCGGGCUCAACCUGGGAACUGCAUUUCGAACUGGCAAACUAGAGUGUGAUAGAGGGUGGUAGAAUUUCAGGUGUAGCGGUGAAAUGCGUAGAGAUCUGAAGGAAUACCGAUGGCGAAGGCAGCCACGUGGGUCAACACUGACGCUCAUGUACGAAAGCGUGGGGAGCAAACAGGAUUAGAUACCGUGGUAGUCCACGCCGUAAACGAUGUCUACUAGAAGCUCGGAGCCUCGGUUCUGUUUUUCAAAGCUAACGCAUUAAGUAGACCGCCUGGGGUGUACGGCCGCAAGGUUAAAACUCAAAUGAAUUGACGGGGGCCCGCACAAGCGGUGGAGCAUGUGACUAAUCUUUGCAACGCGAAGAACCUUACCUACACUUGACAUACAGAGAACUUACCAGAGAUGGUUUGGUGCCUUCGGAAACUCUGAUACAGGUGCUGCAUGGCUGUCGUCAGCUCGUGUUGUGAGAUGUUGGGUUAAGUCCCGCAACGAGCGCAACCCCUAUCCUUAGUUGCUAGCAGGUAAUGCUGAGAACUCUAAGGAGACUGCCGGUGAUAAACCGGAGGAAGGUGGGGACGACGUCAAGACAUCAUGGCCCUUACGUGUAGGGCUACACACGUGCUACAAUGGCGCAUACAGAGUGCCGAGAACUCGCGAGAGUAAGCGAAUCACUUAAAGUGCGUCGUAGUCCGGAUUGGAGUCUGCAACUCGACUCCAUGAAGUCGGAAUCGCUAGUAAUCGCGUAUCAGAAUGACGCGGUGAAUACGUUCCCGGGCCUUGUACACACCGCCCGUCACACCAUGGGAGUGGGUUGCUGCAGAAGUAGAUAGUCUAACCCUAGG
rnacentral:rRNA from 1 species